GGAGACUGGACCGCAGAGAAUAAUGAAGUAGCAGGAGCUUAUCACGAGUGACAGUGAGGGCACAUCUCCUGCUGCUGCUCCUGCUGCUGCUCCUGCUGCUGCACCAGCUGCACCUGUUGCUGCUGCUGCUUCUCCUGCUGCUGCUUCAGUCAGUGGUGCACUGAGAGGGAAGAGGAAGAGAGAGCAUGAGAUGGACGACUGGGAGCGAGAAAGAACUCACAGGGAGAGGCCAAUAGAGGACCUCCUCAUUCAGAGGCUGCGGUGCCCACCUGCCUCGCCCCCUCCGUGAAUCGAAGAGGAGAAGUUCCUCUUAGACCUGGCUCCUUCCCUCCAUAGGCUGCCAACCCCACAAAGGGAAUAUGUGAAA